GACGAACGCUGGCGGCGUGCUUAACACAUGCAAGUCGAACGGAAAGGCCCUGCUUUUGUGGGGUGCUCGAGUGGCGAACGGGUGAGUAACACGUGAGUAACCUGUCCUUGACUUUGGGAUAACUUCAGGAAACUGGGGCUAAUACCGGAUAGGAGCUCCUGCUUCAUGGUGGGGGUUGGAAAGAUUUGGCGGUUGGGGAUGGACUCGCGGCUUAUCAGCUUGUUGGUGGGGUAGUGGCUUACCAAGGCUUUGACGGGUAGCCGGCCUGGGAGGGUGACCGGCCACAGUGGGCCUGGGAUACGGCCCAGACUGCUACGGGAGGCAGCAGUGGGAAAUAUUGCACAAUGGGCGGAAGCCGGAUGCAGCAACGCCGCGUGCGGGAUGACGGCCGUCGGGUUGGAAACCGCGUUCGCCUGUGACGAAGCGUGAGUGACGGUAAUGGAUAAAGAAGCACCGGCUAACUACGUG
rnacentral:rRNA from 1 species